CUGAGUACGGCGGAACACGUGAAAUUCCGUCGGAAUCCGGGAGGACCAUCUCCCAAGGCUAAAUACUCCCUAGUGACCGAUAGUGAACCAGUACCGUGAGGGAAAGGUGAAAAGCACCCCGGAAGGGGAGUGAAACAGUUCCUGAAACCGUGUGCCUACAAGUAGUUAGAGCCCGUUAAUGGGUGAUAGCGUGCCUUUUGUAGAAUGAACCGGCGAGUUACGAUUUGUUGCAAGGUUAAGCGGAAAAAGCGGAGCCGUAGCGAAAGCGAGUCUGAAUAGGGCGCAUAAGUAACAGGUCGUAGACCCGAAACCAGGUGAUCUACCCAUGUCCAGGAUGAAGGUAAGGUAAUACUUACUGGAGGUCCGAACCCACGCACGUUGAAAAGUGCGGGGAUGAGGUGUGGGUAGCGGAGAAAUUCCAAUCGAACUUGGAGAUAGCUGGUUCUCUCCGAAAUAGCUUUAGGGCUAGCCUCGAGGUAAAGAGUCAUGGAGGUAGAGCACUGUUUGGACUAGGGGCCCUUCUCGGGUUACCGAAUUCAGAUAAACUCCGAAUGCCAUGUACUUAUACUCGGGAGUCAGACUGCGAGUGAUAAGAUCCGUAGUCGAAAGGGAAACAGCCCAGACCACCAGUUAAGGUCCCCAAAUAUAUGUUAAGUGGAAAAGGAUGUGGGGUUGCUUAGACAACCAGGAUGUUGGCUUAGAAGCAGCCACCAUUGAAAGAGUGCGUAAUAGCUCACUGGUCGAGUGACCCCGCGCCGAAAAUGUACCGGGGCUAAACAUAUUACCGAAACUGUGGAUGAACCUCUUUAGAGGUUCGUGGUAGGAGAGCGUUCUAAGGGCGGUGAAGUCAGACCGGAAGGACUGGUGGAGCGCUUAGAAGUGAGAAUGCCGGUAUGAGUAGCGAAAGAAGGGUGAGAAUCCCUUCCACCGAAUAUCUAAGGUUUCCUGAGGAAGGCUCGUCCGCUCAGGGUUAGUCGGGACCUAAGCCGAGGCCGAUAGGCGUAGGCGAUGGACAACAGGUAGAGAUUCCUGUACCAGUGCUAAUUGUUUAACCGAUGGGGUGACACAGAAGGAUAGGGAAUCGCACGAAUGGAAAUGUGCGUCCAAGCAGUGAGUGUGAGAAGUAGGCAAAUCCGCUUCUCGCGAAGCAUGAGCUGUGAUGGGGAAGGAAAUUAAGUACGGAAGUUCCUGAUUUCACGCUGUCAAGAAAAGCCUCUAGGAAGAGUAGUACUGCCCGUACCGCAAACCGACACAGGUAGAUGAGGAGAGAAUCCUAAGGUGAGCGAGAGAACUCUCGUUAAGGAACUCGGCAAAAUGACCCCGUAACUUCGGGAGAAGGGGUGCUCUAUUAGGGUGCAAGCCCGAGAGAGCCGCAGUGAAUAGGCCCAGGCGACUGUUUAGCAAAAACACAGGUCUCUGCAAAACCGUAAGGUGACGUAUAGGGGCUGACGCCUGCCCGGUGCUGGAAGGUUAAGAGGAGUGCUUAGCUUCGGCGAAGGUACGAAUUGAAGCCCCAGUAAACGGCGGCCGUAACUAUAACGGUCCUAAGGUAGCGAAAUUCCUUGUCGGGUAAGUUCCGACCCGCACGAAAGGCGCAACGAUCUGGGCACUGUCUCAACGAGAGACUCGGUGAAAUUAUAGUACCUGUGAAGAUGCAGGUUACCCGCGACAGGACGGAAAGACCCCGUGGAGCUUUACUGCAACCUGAUAUGGAAUGUUUGUACCGCUUGUACAGGAUAGGUAGGAGCCGAAGAGACGUGUGCGCUAGCAUACGAGGAGGCAAUGGUGGGAUACUACCCUGGCUGUAUGACCAUUCUAACCCGCCACGCUUAGCGCGUGGGGAGACAGUGUCAGGUGGGCAGUUUGACUGGGGCGGUCGCCUCCUAAAGAGUAACGGAGGCGCCCAAAGGUUCCCUCAGAAUGGAUGGAAAUCAUUCGCAGAGUGUAAAGGCACAAGGGAGCUUGACUGCGAGACUGACAAGUCGAGCAGGGACGAAAGUCGGGCUUAGUGAUCCGGUGGUUCCGCAUGGAAGGGCCAUCGCUCAACGGAUAAAAGCUACCCCGGGGAUAACAGGCUUAUCUCCCCCAAGAGUCCACAUCGACGGGGAGGUUUGGCACCUCGAUGUCGGCUCGUCGCAUCCUGGGGCUGUAGUCGGUCCCAAGGGUUGGGCUGUUCGCCCAUUAAAGCGGCACGCGAGCUGGGUUCAGAACGUCGUGAGACAGUUCGGUCCCUAUCCGUCGCGGGCGCAGGAAAUUUGAGAGGAGCUGUCCUUAGUACGAGAGGAC
rnacentral:rRNA from 1 species